GGCAGUGUUGUUUAUUAAAAUAAGAUAGCAUUAACAGUUUGAGCGUAGUUACAGUCAACAGUGACUAUAAAUGCUAAAACUGAAUAUAUUGCAUAGUGUUCCCCCCCUCCACCAUUAACAAAUGGUUCAGCCCAUAGCAGGACCCGCUUUUUUCUUGUUUUCAGUAGCAAGCGAUGUUUAUGAUUGCGCCAGAGCACAUUUUGAACAACACCAUGGGAAUUUCGGAUUUUACACAGGUGGUUGGAUGUUACACUCUGGAAAUUGAAGGAAGUCCUGGAUACAGCGGGGUCUGAGUUUAGACCCAACAUUUAUUUGGUCCUCCGAGCCGGAUCCUAACACAUCGCAUUCACCGAGGAGAGGGAGAGGACGCCACCGCAGUCUGCUAGCAGCCAUCGUCUGGGACGAUUGACGAAAGCCCUGGUACUUUGCUUUGUUCCAGGCCGGACAGUUUGCGCCUGAACUCCCCUCGGGAUGGAUGGCGAUUGACGGGAACCAGAGACUCUUCCCAUGAACGGAAACAACACGAACAAUGUCGUGAGAUGCCAUGACGAGAGAAGUGACUGAGAGGAUCGUCCACAAGAUGGAAGCUGAGGCCUGGAGAGAGUCUUCAGGAGGAUCAGAGAUCACCUUCAGCACAGAGAGCUGUGCUACUGGGCUUCCAGGAGAUCGUCAUGAGGAGACUCUGCACAGCAAAAUCUUAAAUAAGAUGAAAGACUUUCGACGUUGACGUUGAGGAAGACAACUAAGGUGUACGACGUGCUCUGCCUUUAAAAUCUUCAGCAACGUUGAACCAUGAGAACUUGAGGGAGCGUGCCAAGCUCCAAAAAGUGACGGCGCAGAGGAGGUCCAGCGAUGGACUUGUGGUUCUGUGAACAGCACAAAUGCCAGGAGCAGAGUCUGAAGUCUGGAGAUUGGACGUUGACAAGGCCAUGGAGAGGAAGUGCUGGUCCAGUCCACGGUGGGAAGGUCCCUAUCGGGUGCUGCUGACGACGACCACAGCGGUGAAGAUUGCUGAAAGGAGUACUUGGAUACAUCAAGCGCACUGCAAGAAGGUGACGCACAUCCAGGCCAGCUCGGGGUAAGUGGCAGGAAGACCGGGUACAAAGGGGGGGAAAGCCUCCAGGGCCCCUCGUCUCAAUCCGGUGAAGAAACCAACUGAGCCACAGGUACUCAUCAGAAUGGCUGGGAAUGUGCUGUGCGCCUUCUUGUGCCUGUGGACCCAGAGUGGGAUGACAGGAAGCGCACUGGGACAGAGCAAACCACACCCAGUACCCGCAUGGGGUUUUCAACAACUACUGGUGGCAGUUUGUGAACACAACCGCUCACAUAAAGAACGAGACCAAUGGCUAUGCUUGUGAUGCCACUGGUUACACAUUCUUCUGGACUGUGGCCAUAUAGCAUCACUGAGAGUGAGACAGUUUGUUGGUUGCCGUAGCAACACAUCCAGGAGUAAACGUACUUGGAACACUGCCAACUUUUCAACUUCUGAACCUGAAUGGACGGUUGAUUCACCAGUAGCUGGGAAGGUGAACUGCUCUGGUAUGACAGAUCUGCUAGUCUGACUCCAAGAAUCUGACUCGCUGCAGGACAUUGAACAGCUAAAUGAACUGGAAAUAGGCCAGUUGCCUAUGUGUAUGAAGGGCAAUGGAUUAGUCCAAGUUGGAGAUUUACCAUGAAAUUUGUGCAACGUCACCUAUUCUUUGUGUCCUCUGUGAGAAGGAUGCAAACAGAGAAGCCUUUUGUCUACAUUUACAUCAUGAACACUUCUGUAAGCUGGUUGAGGUUUUGAGCCAAGAAGAUCAAAACAGCUUGAUCCAAUUUCCUUUACAAAGCUUUUCCUGUGGUGACAACAGGACAGGAGAAGAGUUGUGAAUGCAGAUAAUACACCAGUUGACUCUAACCCCACAGGAUGCCCACAGUGAGAAGGUUUGGGGGUUGAUAGGAGUCAUAAAGAAGGGUGUUGACCAGGCUACAGCUUUGAAGUUAGCUGAGAGCCACAUGGACAAACAAUAAAGUCAACUGAUGUGUUUGAAUGUCUAUGUCUGUAUACAGUUGGAUUGUAGUGACAUUUGAUUUUUGAGUUUGUUGAUUCUUCUUGUUUGACUGUGACAUUCAGUUGUUUACUUGCAGGAAUACAUAAUGAAUCGCACGACAGGAGUAGAUGCACCACAAGGCUGGAGAGCUUGGUGAAUGUCUGGUCCUUGGUGGCAUCUUCUUUUGAAAAUAUUAACUCUUGUUUUGGACUGUUGACACUUGAUUUGCUUAUGUAUAGGAUGCAUUUUACCGUGUAUAAGAUCAAUGGGAACUAAGAUGAUUUCUAAUACAUUUGUUGAUUAUGUACCUUUACAACAGUAUGAAUUGACUGAAAUGGAUGAUAUGACAGAAGCCUGUGUAUAAAUGACGCCUGCGCUGAAAUUGUCAAGCAAGAGGUGCAUGACUAAGAAUAUACUACACAGGAAUAAUUUGGAGCAUAAAAAUCACAAAACAGGAGGGAAUGUUAGAGUGAAUUGUUAAUGUUCGUCAUUUUUAUGCUUGCCAUCUCUACAUUGUUUAACUGUGGGAUGAAAGCAGUUCCACAGUCCCCCUCCCCAGAUUCUUGAGUUUUUGGGUGAGGGGCUGUAGGUUUGAUUACAGACACAUCCUAUCUGGAAGGUCUGUUUGAUGUAAGCUUCCUGCCCAGCAGGAGGACACACACACACACACACACAUAUAUAUACAUACAGUGCCUCGUCUUUGUAACCAAGGGGGUUAAGAGGGAGGUACGUGUUGUAAACUAUUGUGUGAACUGUAACAGUUUGUCAAUAAAUAGCUGCGAGGGAAGCUGCUCUUUGAAGGACUUUGGGCUGGAGACAGGUUAGG
ensembl:lncRNA